GUCAGGCUCUUUAUAGUAUAAAAUAUCUUUUUGUGUUUUUUUAAAUAAUUUGAGAAAAUAAAAUAUACUAGAAGGGUUGUAUACCUCUUGUUCUUUGUGGGAGAGAAGAGGAUAUCCUAAACUUUUGAUAGUUAGAGGGUAUAAGUGGGAUAUUUGGAUGUAGAUGGAGGGUAUGUAUGGAAACUAGGAAAGGACAGAGGUUGCUUGCGCAAAUCUAGCUAAUCUGGGUUCUGGAACAAAAGCAAGCAAAGUUUUGCAAAGGGUGUAGAAACCAGAAGAAGAAAGAAAGAGGGUCCAAGGCAAAGAGACUAAAUAAUCCAAUGCACAAGUCGUACAAACGCAAAUCCAAUUCAUCUUUAUUUCUUUCCCACAUUUAUUUGGCCUCAUUAUGUUAGGCAGAGAGACACAGUAAGGACAGAGAACACUCUCUCUCACACACAGACACUUUACCAAGGAAAAUCCUUCAAUAUCUUCUUCAGCUUCUUACACAAGCCCAUAACCCUCUUUCAACAUUUAUAGUUUUCUUCUUUUCCAUGAUAGGACAAGAAAACCCAUCAAAAGAGGGUUUUUCGAAGGAAAGAAGAAAGUAGAGAAAAAUAAAUAAACAAAUGAACAAAAGCCUGUGGAGUUGGAGUUGGUGUUGGUUCUGGUGGUGGAAUAUGGUGGGCGCUUUGGCGACAAUCAUUUUGAGAGAUGAGGAAUGCUUUUUCAUCAGAAUGGGUUUGAAGAAAAUGAGUUUCUUGGGUUCAAAAUCUGAGGGGUGGAUAACUACUGGUUGUAGAAGGAACUCCAUUUCCAAGGUCCAAUUCCUGCAGCAACCUAUCUCCUCCUGCUUCCUCUUUGGCGUUUGAUGGUGGUGGUGGUGGUGGUGGUAUUGGCGCGACGGCUCAAUCCUUUUGGUUUUUCAGAUAUAGUUUUCCUUCUUAAAUUUUACUUCAAAAUCUUAUUUUUGGCUGCUAAUUUUUGUUCAUAUGGAAUAUUGGGCAAGCAAGCAAAUGUUCGUUCUCUGAAGAGCUGUUCUCUCUACUUUGCCCUUAAUUGAUUCUUGCUAUUUUGGUUUGCA